AUUGAACGCUGGCGGCAUGCCUUACACAUGCAAGUCGAACGGCAGCGGGGACUUCGGUCCGCCGGCGAGUGGCGAACGGGUGAGUAAUGUAUCGGAGCGUACCAUUCAGUGGGGGAUAACUAUCCGAAAGGAUAGCUAAUACCGCAUAUUCUGUGAGCAGGAAAGCAGGGGAUCGCAAGACCUUGCGCUGAUUGAGCGGCCGAUAUCAGAUUAGCUAGUUGGUGAGGUAACGGCUCACCAAGGCUACGAUCUGUAGCGGGUCUGAGAGGAUGAUCCGCCACACUGGGACUGAGACACGGCCCAGACUCCUACGGGAGGCAGCAGUGGGGAAUUUUGGACAAUGGGCGCAAGCCUGAUCCAGCCAUGCCGCGUGAGUGAAGAAGGCCUUCGGGUUGUAAAGCUCUUUCGGCCGGGAAGAAAUCGCAUCAGCUAAUACCUGGUGUGGAUGACGGUACCGGAACAAGAAGCACCGGCUAACUACGUGCCAGCCGCCGCCGUAACAC
rnacentral:rRNA from 1 species